rnacentral:rRNA from 1 species
AUUGAACGCUGGCGGCAGGCCUAACACAUGCAAGUCGAGCGAGCGGCGGACGGGUGAGUAAUGUAUGGGGAUCUGCCCGAUAGAGGGGGAUAACUACUGGAAACGGUAGCUAAUACCGCAUACUAUCGGAUGAACCCCUCUGGGAUUAGCUAGUUGGUGGGGUAAAGGCUCACCUAGGCGACGAUCUCUAGCUGGUCUGAGAGGAUGACCAGCCACACUGGGACUGAGACACGGCCCAGACUCCUACGGGAGGCAGCAGUGGGGAAUAUUGCACAAUGGGCGCAAGCCUGAUGCAGCCAUGCCGCAUGUAUGAAGAAGGCCUUAGGGUUGUAAAGUACUUUCAGCGGGGAGGCGUUAACCGCAGAAGAAGCACCGGCUAACUCCGUGCCAGCAGCCGCGGUAAUUC